ACAACAACCAACACUUUUAUAAACAACGAAUUAAACGUUUUUUUUUUAUUAUAAACUCAGCUGUUUUCUUUUUUAAAUUUAACAUAUUGUCCAACAUAAAUUGUUCCAAAAAGGUGAAAAGAGAAAAAAUUGGUGAGAAAUUCACCACUCUCUCCUAAACUCUUUUCCAGUAGAGAGCAAAACAACUGUUUUUUCGCUGAUUUAACUCUUUGUUUUUUAAAAAAGAAGCAGAAGUGUGGAUAUGUUUUACUUUUGCUUGUUUUUGCUUUGCCAAGAAGCGAAGGUUCAUUCAAGAGAAGAUUUCAAAGACCAGAAACCAAAAUUAACAUCUGAUGACAGUGGGUUAAAAGAAGG